rnacentral:tRNA from 1 species
AAAUUAAAAAUAUUAGCAAAACAUUGCAUGAGACUUAGAAUCUUAUUUAUCACUU